CUUGGGGAUCGACUCAUGGGUCGACUCACAGGGUGUGCCAAGUUUGUGCCAUCCAAAAAUUUAGCGUGCCAAUCAUCUCAUAUGCCAUGAGUCGACUCAUGGGUCGACUCAUAUUUUUCAAACAUGAAUAUCUUUCAAAAUACAAGUCCAAAAAUAAAGUCCAAAAAUAAAAUUUUCACCAAUGGAUCACAAAUCUUUUGUUCUAUCAUUUGAUGCUUUCAAAUCAGGAUUUGGGUAAAAUUAUGAUUGUGUCCC
rnacentral:lncRNA from 1 species